rnacentral:rRNA from 1 species
CGUAGGGUGCGAGCGUUGUCCGGAAUUACUGGGCGUAAAGAGCUUGUAGGCGGUUCGUCGCGUCGAUUGUGAAAACUUGGGGCUCAACUCCAAGCUUGCAGUCGAUACGGGCGAACUAGAGUACUUCAGGGGAGACUGGAAUUCCUGGUGUAGCGGUGAAAUGCGCAGAUAUCAGGAGGAACACCGGUGGCGAAGGCGGGUCUCUGGGAAGUAACUGACGCUGAGAAGCGAAAGCGUGGGUAGCGAACAGGAUUAGAUACCCUGGUAGUCCACGCCGUAAACGGUGGGUACUAGGUGUGGGUUUCCUUCCACGGGAUCCGUGCCGUAGCUAACGCAUUAAGUACCCCGCCUGGGGAGUACGGCCGCAAGGCUA